AGUGAACGCUGGCGGUAGGCCUAACACAUACAAGUCGAACGGCAGCACAGUAAGAGCUUGCUCUUACGGGUGGCGAGUGGCGGACGGGUGAGGAAUACAUCGGAAUCUACUUUUUCGUGGGGGAUAUCGUAGGGAAACUUACGCUACUACCGCAUACGACCUACGGGUGAAAGCAGGGGAUCUUCGGACCUUGCGCGAUUGAUUGAGCCGAUGUCGAAUUAGCUAGUUGGCGAGGUAAAGGCCCACCAAGGCGACGAUACGUAGCUGGUCUGAGAGGAUGAUCAGCCACACUGGAACUGAGACACGGUCCAGACUCCUACGGGAGGCAGCAGUAGGGAAUAUUGGACAAUGGGCGCAAGCCUGAUCCAGCCAUACCGCGUGGGUGAAGAAGGCCUUCGGGUUGUAAAGCCCUGUUGUUGGGAAAGAAAAGCAGCAGGUUAAUACCCCGCUGUUCUGACGGUACCCAAAGAAUAAGCACCGGCUAACUUCGUG
rnacentral:rRNA from 1 species